AGUAGUUUGAUCAAAACCAAACAUACCGUAGCGGAGCUUAAGUGCUAAUUGCUAAGUUGCUAGUGGUAGGAACAAGCAAAAUGUAUACUUCCUUACCACCAAGUGCAGGUAGAGUGAGGAGCUGCAAUCUGAAGAAGCAAGCAGCAACAAGGAUGAUACUGCUACUUUAUUUGAUCAUCCAAUUCGUUGCAGUUUCGGCUCAGCAAGUUGUACAGGCGAUGGCCUCAAUUAAGUGAACUGACGACCACCAACUCAAAUCUUUAUUCCUCUUGAAUGACAUCGAAGCUUUUGAGCCUCAGAAGACAUAGCCUCAUCCAAAUUCCUACUCAGAAUGGGUGGUAUGCACUGCAACUUUGUUUCUAAUGCUUAUAGAUUUAUACUGCAAUCAGUAUAAGCACUAAUACCACAUCGGGCCUACAACAAAGUUUAUUACUCCAAUGCUUAACCUUGAUUCCAUAGUAAACACAUAAUAUCACUAAACAUGGAAAAGGGCGAUGCAAUAAUUGAAAUAGUGUAAUUAGAAUUGAUUUUAAAUGCCAAAACCAUUUAAAUAAUUUGAAAUCAAUACUUCUUACGACUUCAACUCAAGCAGAGAAUUGCGAUUGUUGGGAGAAACAAUAUUGCAUGGUAGACAAGCAAACACCAGAUGAUAGUUGGGCGUUUGGUCCUGGUGGAGCAGGCUGCACAGUGAUUGGACCAAACAAAUCCUGUAACCAAUACAGCCAGGGACCAUGCAUCCCUAUGCAUUCAACAGUUUUGGCAAAGAUUCGAAAAACAUGGUGGUUCUUGCUACUUCAAUGCAGCUACAAUGCUCACCGACCUAGAUCCAAGUAUGUCCAUAAUCUGAAGCAUUAUUGGGAACAUACACUUUUGCAGGUUAAAUUUUACCAGCGGGGUCAAACAUGCGCACACAGAAGGAAAAACUCAGACGCCCCCCUCCCCUGGGGCCGUGUGCACGCACACAAACACACACCACAACGAGACAUGUAUCAGUAAAAAGAAAUAGAAAAAGGGAAAUAUAUGUCCGAGGUGACUCUUCCUAUUUUGAGUCUACUAAGAAAGCACAGCUCUCUGAAAUUGAAAUAAUUCUUUGGAAACCAUGAAACCCUACUUUUUCUUUUAAAUGACAUGACUGUUUUAGGUGCAAUCAUAAGUUCAAAAUUGCAGUGGCAUGUAAGGAAGUUCUUUUCUUGGGAAUAAGUACCCUAAGGAUAGCAUGGAAGCAUAAAUUACUCAUAUUAUCUGAUAACGAUAUGGAUGUUAGUCAUAUGAAUCAUUCACUUGUUACCCUGAUACUGCCAUGUGUUCCUGAGUUCUAUUCCAUUGACCCUUCAGGAAACGGAAAGGCAAAAUAUGUUCAAACACAUUCGUUGACUUUGCAGGGAGAUUGUCAUUACUCAGAAACAUGGCUGGCUAUGUGAGAGCAACACCUGACAUGUAGCUCCACACUUUAAAAUGUUUCAACUAUGUGUGUCAUCUAUAAUCAAACUCAUUUCCAAAUUUCACUAUGUUACCCGGUUUUAUAUCAUUACAAGUUGAGCACGUUUUCUAGGA